rnacentral:rRNA from 1 species
CCUACGGGGGACAGCAGUGAGGAAUAUUGGUCAAUGGGCGGAAGCCUGAACCAGCCAAGUCGCGUGAGGGAAUAAGGCCCUACGGGUCGUAAACCUCUUUUGCCGGGGAGCAAGGGCCGGGACGAGUCCCGGUCCGGAGAGUACCCGGAGGAAAAGCAUCGGCUAACUCCGUGCCAGCAGCCGCGGUAAUACGGAGGAUGCGAGCGUUAUCCGGAUUUAUUGGGUUUAAGGGGUGCGUAGGCGGGCUUUUAAGUCAGCGGUAAAAAUUCGGGGCUCAACCCCGUCCGGCCGUUGAAACUGGGGGCCUUGAGUGGGCGAGAGGAAGGCGGAAUGCGUGGUGUAGCGGUGAAAUGCAUAGAUAUCACGCAGAACCCCGAUUGCGAAGGCAGCCUUCCGGCGCCCUACUGACGCUGAGGCACGAAAGUGCGGGGAUCGAACAGGAUUAGAUACCCGAGUAGUC